UACAGAGGGUGCAAGCGUUGUUCGGAAUUAUUGGGCGUAAAGGGAGUGUAGGCGGUUUGGUAAGUCUUCUGUGAAAUCUGCGGGCUUAGCCUGCAAAGUGCAGAGGAAACUGUCAGACUUGAGUAUUGGAGAGGGCAGGGGAAUACCCAGUGUAGAGGUGAAAUUCGUAGAGAUUGGGUGGAACACCAGUGGCGAAGGCGCCUGCCUGGCUGAUUACUGACGCUGAGACUCGAAAGCAUGGGGAGCAAACAGGG
rnacentral:rRNA from 1 species